AUAGAAGACCAUCAUGAGUGAGUGUUUUUUUGUUGGUUGUCAAAGCAUAAUGUGCAACAAAUCAUGAACAAGUGACAUAUGGCAGGUAUAGUCAUAUGUAAAUCGCCUGCAAAGUUGCCCUUUUCUGGGUAUUUACCAUUACCCAUCAUGAUUAAGGUAAUAUCAGUUAUAGUAAGGCCUACACAAUGAAGUUUAUGGCAGGAGAUUCUGAUUCUGAAUGGACGUAUUGCUUUCAUAAUUCAUCCAAACAUAAUCAUGUUCAAGCAUUGAUGUUGGUGUCAGUGAAAUGAGUCCCGAAUUUGUGUUUGUAAUGUUCAUGACCAAUUGUGUGCAAUAAAAGAAACAUGUGAGAUU